rnacentral:lncRNA from 1 species
GCGAUUGUCCGAGGUCUGCGACAUUCCACUUUUGCAGUCGGACUUUCUACUUGGUUACUAGCUACGCCCGACAUGCCCGACGGACCUUGAAAGAAAAUAGAAAAAUAACUUUGCAAACGUUUUUACCAAAGUUUCGAUCUAAUAAACGAUCUCAAACUUAUUUUCAUCAUUACUAUUUAUGACAGCGAUGUUCAAUUUGUUCAACCGCUAGCUUUAUACAGAAAAUCGCCGACAUAUAAUGUGUAAAUCCGAGUAAAAUCGUAUCUCACUAUCUGUCAAAAACAACAUUGAAAACAAAAUGGCUGCCGCGAGAAGACAAUUAAAAUAUCGGAUCCGAUUUCGGAAGCGGAUAAGGGUAAUCCCGGGUUUUGGCUAUUAACUAAAAAAUCCAGACAGGUGUCAAAAUACAUCUUUGCAUGGUAAAGAAAUAUAAACACUAGAAUUGAAAACCAAAACAUAUAUGUAAAAGAAGAAAAAGCAGAAAAUAUUUUGUACACCAAUUUUAAUGUCAAAAUCCAAUACAAUGUGACAGCUGGGAACAGUUUAUCUGACAAUAUAUAUGUUCCUGGUAACAGUAUACAUUUUCUUUAUCAGUGAUAAAUGUUGGUAAUGCAUGUUAGAUGCUUUUUAAGUUAAACAUAUUACUGCUAUUUCAAGGGGUAUUUUUUUCUUCUCCAUUUUGAUAGGUCAUUUAAAAUAGCUGGAACUUUCUUAUAUAAAAAAAAGUGUGGUAUGAUUGCCAAUGAGACAACUAUCCACAAGAGACCAAAAUGACACAGACAUUAACAACUAUAGGUCAUCGUAUGGCCUUCAACAAGGAGCAAAGCCCAUACACUAUCGUCAGCUAUAAAAGGCCCCGAUAAGACAAUGUAAAACAAUUCAAACGAGAAAACUAACGGCCCUAUUUAUAUAAAAAAAAUAACAAAAAACAAAUAUGUAACACAUAAACAAACGACAACCACUGAAUUACAGGC